UACGAAGGGUGCAAGCGUUGCUCGGAAUUAUUGGGCGUAAAGGGUAGGUAGGUGGUCUGAUUUGUCUGAGGUGAAAGCCCGGGGCUUAACCCCGGAAGUGCCUUAGAAACGGUUAGACUGGAGUACUGGAGAGGGUCGCGGAAUUCCUGGUGUAGCGGUGAAAUGCGUAGAGAUCAGGAGGAACAUCAGAGGCGAAGGCGGCGGCCUGGACAGGUACUGACACUCAACUACGAAAGCGUGGGUAGCAAACAGG
rnacentral:rRNA from 1 species